rnacentral:rRNA from 1 species
AAGGAAGUUUUCGGAUGGAAUUUAGGUAGACUUAGUGGCGGACGGGUGAGUAACGCGUGGAUAACCUGCCUUAUACAGGGGGAUAACGGAGAGAAAUUUCCGCUAAUACCGCAUAAGACCACAGCACCGCAUGGUGCAGGGGUAAAAUAUUUAUAGGUAUAAGAUGGAUCCGCGUCCGAUUAGCUAGUUGGUGAGGUAAAGGCCCACCAAGGCGACGAUCGGUAGCCGGCCUGAGAGGGUGAACGGCCACAUUGGGACUGAGACACGGCCCAAACUCCUACGGGAGGCAGCAGUGGGGAAUAUUGGACAAUGGGGGAAACCCUGAUCCAGCGACGCCGCGUGAGUGAAGAAGUAUUUCGGUAUGUAAAGCUCUAUCAGCAGGGAAGAAAAUGACGGUACCUGACUAAGAAGCCCCGGCUAACUACGUGCCAGCAGCCGCGG